CUUCACUCUCUCCCUCUCACGCGAUUUUGGGAUUCCCAGUUCUCCCCUCAAUUUUCUCUCUCCUCUGAAGAUAAUCGCCAUCGUAGCCUCCAAACGGAAAAUCGCUCCGUCGUCGCAACUCCAAUUGUUGAUUUAAGAUCACUGGAGUAGAAAAAAAUACGAACGGCGAAGCAAACACAAACAUGACAAACCAGCACCAAAUCCAGUCGUGCUGAAGAAGGAAAUAAGAAUGAACGCGCCAAAGAAACGGAGCCAAUUGUCCCGCCAUCACUUCUGAACGACAUCAUGAACAAUUUAGAGGAAGAAACCGAAUCUCACCCUUGAUGGAAAAACUGAAGCCAAUGUUAAUUAUGAUGUCUUCAAUUAUGUGUUGGGUGUAGUCAUGUGUAUUGCUUUUGUUACUUGCAUGUGUGUGCUCUUUUAUGUGUAUAUGUCAAGUUAUAACAUUUAGUUUGGGGAUUCAGAACAUUUAGCUUAGGAAUGCAGAACAUUUAGUUUGGGAACUCAUAACAUUUAGUUUAGG